rnacentral:rRNA from 1 species
GAUGAACGCUGGCGGCGUGCUUAACACAUGCAAGUCGAACGGAAAGGCCCAAGCUUGCUUGGGUACUCGAGUGGCGAACGGGUGAGUAACACGUGGGUGAUCUGCCCUGCACUUCGGGAUAAGCCUGGGAAACUGGGUCUAAUACCGGAUAGGACCACUUCUUGGAUGUUGUGGUGGAAAGUUUUUUCGGUGUGGGAUGAGCUCGCGGCCUAUCAGCUUGUUGGUGGGGUAAUGGCCUACCAAGGCGUCGUCGGGUAGCCGGCCUGAGAGGGUGUACGGCCACAUUGGGACUGAGAUACGGCCCAGACUCCUACGGGAGGCAGCAGUGGGGAAUAUUGCACAAUGGGCGCAAGCCUGAUGCAGCGACGCCGCGUGGGGGAUGACGGCCUUCGGGUUGUAAACUCCUUUCGCUAGGGACGAAGCGUUUUGUGACGGUACCUGGAGAAGAAGCACCGGCUAACUACGUG